rnacentral:rRNA from 1 species
UACGUAGGUGACAAGCGUUGUCCGGAUUUACUGGGCGUAAAGAGCGCGCAGGCGGUCGAUCAAGUCGAGUGUGAAAGCCCCCGGCUCAACUGGGGAGGGUCAUUCGAUACUGAUCGACUCGAAGGCAGGAGAGGGUAGUGGAAUUCCCGGUGUAGUGGUGAAAUGCGUAGAUAUCUGGAGGAAUACCGGUGGCGAAGGCGGCAUCCUGGACCGAGAUUGACACUGAGGAGCGAAAGCCAGGGGAGCAAACGGG